AAAAGUUGUGCGAGGCGGUCCCUGGCAGUGCCAGGUGGCCGCUUAGACAUCAACACCCUCUGUAUAUCUACCCGCGUUGCUUUGGCGGGACGGCAGCCAGCAGCUCCGCUGGGAAGCUGUCCGCAGGGCCACUUAGGACCCCGCGAGUGCCCGCCAGAGAACCAUCAAACUCAUGUUAAACCGUGAUGUCUGAGCUGUACAAGCAAUAAGUUAA
rnacentral:misc_RNA from 1 species